GACAGGCAGGACUCGUCUCUUUUGCCUUCUUUCUUCGCUUCCAAGUUUCGCAUUCCCCUCGGGGGCUCGGCCCGCCGCUCUGACUAGCCGGCGGCGCCGCAGAGACACCUCCAGCAGACGCCACCGCAGAGACACCUCCAGCAGGCGCCGCCUGGACACGGUGAACUCAUCCUCCUCACGGUUCGCCGCUGCACUCUCCGACCAGGCCCUCACGCCCAGGGCGUCAGGGUGCAAGGAGGAGCAUGUGGCUGACCCUGCAUCUGCACAGACGCUGCAAGAACAGGAUGUCUUGCGCUUAAAGGAGUUGCUCGAACUACAAUAUCGAUUGAAUUGUACGAGCCAUUGUCCAUCACUGCCACUUCCUCGUCCUCUCCGCUGGACACCAUUGAGAUCUCACCAUGAUCAUGGCGCUGCCUUUCCUCGUCAUUCAUAUGGGCUCUUGCUGCUCUGCAAGAGCUUGAUUGGGUCAUUGGGAUUCACAUUUCACACCAUUGAAACAUCUUGAGGAUCAUAGAGGAUCUUUGCGCUCAUAUCCUCAUUUGGGUGGACCAUUUCAAAACUUAGAUGAAGCUUACAAUGGCCACACAAGAUAAUCAAAUGAACCAGUUAAAAGGCGAAUGGCUCUAAAUCUAUAUUUAGAUGUCUAUUGCAGUUUGAAGCUGAGAUUUCUGUACCUGGUAUUGGCAUGUUCUUCUGCGUUUACUGGUAAGCUGAAGUUCCAACCCCAACAAGGCUAGAGAAGCGAGGAUUGCAGAGUUGUGUCCUGCUUCCUCGGGUUGAGAAGCUGGAGAUGGUGGCUCAGGACGCAGCCAACUCGUCUUGUACUCUGCUGUCACUUUCCCUGAUCAAGUGCUCGUCCCUAGGGCAUAGGGUAUGCAUACUUUGUCGACAUGCUCAUCCUCUAAUUUGAUCGGUACUCUCUUUGGGCCUCCUGUUUGAGCUCUCUCGCUUGCUUGUAGACCGUGUAGAAUUGGGGCAGAUUUUGAGGUAUGCUGCUCAUAUUGUGCUAGAGUGCUACUUAUCGUCUGAUUGUACCUUCUAGGACGAUGGAAAUCUUGGUGUAAUUUGGCACAUGCCGGGUUGUAGGUAGGCUACUCUGGCAUGUAAUGGUAGAGGGCUGAAACUUUCAAAACUGAACUCCCUACUUGAAGGACAGGAGUGAGUAGUUUCAGUUUUUUAAAAGUUCCCUUUGAUGAAAGUUCAUCACCAUCCAGCUGAAAGCACAAUUUGAAAGUUUAAACAUACAAUUGAAUGC